UGGGGAAUUUUGGACAAUGGGGGAAACCCUGAUCCAGCCAUCCCGCGUGUGCGAUGAAGGCCUUCGGGUUGUAAAGCACUUUUGGCAGGAAAGAAACGUCAUGGGUUAAUACCCCGUGAAACUGACGGUACCUGCAGAAUAAGCACCGGCUAACUACGUGCCAGCAGCCGCGGUAAUACGUAGGGUGCAAGCGUUAAUCGGAAUUACUGGGCGUAAAGCGUGCGCAGGCGGUUCGGAAAGAAAGAUGUGAAAUCCCAGAGCUCAACUUUGGAACUGCAUUUUUAACUACCGGGCUCGAGUGUGUCAGAGGGAGGUGGAAUUCCGCGUGUAGCAGUGAAAUGCGUAGAUAUGCGGAGGAACACCGAUGGCAAAGGCAGCCUCCUGGGAUAACACUGACGCUCAUGCACGAAAGCGUGGGGAGCAAACAGG
rnacentral:rRNA from 1 species